GUGUUUGACAACAGCACAGAAUGAAACUAGAACCAUCCUCAACACAGCAGCGUCGAGGGGCAGAAACUUGGCAUAGGGAGAAACAAAAGCAAUGUGCAUGUAUAGACUUACCCCCGCGACCUUUCCUGCAGAGAUGUGCACAUGUGCCUCUUCGCUCCAAAAUGAUUCCACACAUGUCUAGCUGGAUGAACCAAAGAGUGUGACUUAAAGCAGCACGGGGAAAGCUCCAUUGGCAUAGGGGACAGCAUGCAUCAAGAGCUCUGCGCAGCUUUCAGGUCCAUGAGGGGAAGUUUCUGAGAAUGAAGAACGUCCCUGCAGUGUAUUAUGUGUUGGGGAACAGGCGGCUGUGCCGUGAAGAUCUCAUGGUGGAAGGAGAGAUCAGAACCCCAGAAGGUGUCCUUAGACCUCUGCACAUGCACCGUGUCACCCGUGUGUCUGCCCUCCCACACACCUUGAGCACAUACUCACAAUGAUAACUAAUUAAAGAAAAAUUGAAACAUA